rnacentral:rRNA from 1 species
AUGGCCACCGCCGGCGCCGUCGUUGACCGGCUCCUACGCCGGUUGGCCUCCGACGCUCGCCGGUCGGAGCUACCCUCGGGCGUAGACGAGCACGUGGCGCAUCUGUGGCGAACUCUGUCGGGGUUGCAAGAUGUGCUGCUAAGUGUGGAGAGAUAUUUUAGGGCGCGUACGGAGGUGCAGGAUUGGAUGGCGACGAUAAAUCAGAUUGUCUAUGAUUCUGAACAUCUCUUGGACGAGUUUGAAGACCAAAAUGGCAUCGGAUCUGAGAGGACCGGCUGUAUUACAAAGGCAACAUCAUUGUGUUCAUGUCCAUUUUUCUUGUACGAUACCAGAGUGAAUAGAAUGAAGAUACUCAGAAAAAGGUUGGAUCUUUUAGCAAGAGAUUCUGUGGUUUUCAGUUUGAUGCAGCACCCAAAGUUUGAUCUUGAGCAAUCUGAUAUCCAAGAAGAGUUCUAUAGAGCUGCAAUUGUUGGAAGAGAUAGUGACAAAGAAAAAAUAAAGGAAUUAAUGUUGGAAAAUGAUACAGAAACAUUGUCCAUCAUUCCCAUAGUUGGCCUUGUGGGUUUGGGGAAAACAGCUCUUGCCAGAUUAAUUUUCCAUGACCAGGGAGAAGGGUGGAAUUUAGAUCUUCGUAUUUGGAUCGACUUAAAUAGGAAAUUUGACCUUAAAAACAUUGCUGCUGAUAUAAUCUCACAAGCUAAUGGAACAAAAGAAGGACCCUCAGAAAUCAAUACCAACAUUCAGAUCCAUGAAAAUCUCCAAUUGCUAAAGGAUCGUUUGCAGAAGACACUUCAUGACAAACGUUGUCUAAUUGUCUUGGAUGACCUUUGUAGCAUAGAUAAAAGCCAGUUGGAUGAACUGAAGGAAAUGCUCAGGCGUACGAACAAGUGGAUCAAGGUUUUGGUGACCACUUCCAGUGAAAUAACUGCAGAACUAAUGCACACUUUCCCACCGUACAAGUUGUUUCCAUUGUCUGAAGAUGACUGUUGGGAAAUAUUUUCUGAAAAAGCUUUUGGGGAUGGAGGUAUUGUUAAUUCAUGCCUGAAGAAAAUUGGGAAGCAAAUUGUGAAAAGAUGUGAUGGAAUACCAUCUUUAGCUCAUUUUCUGGGUUCAGUAGUGCACAAUCAAGUCAUGGAUGUCUGGUUAGCAGCAAGGGAUGAACCAAUAUGUAAAUUAGAGAGCACAUAUUCCAUGAAAGUUAAAGUGUUUUCAUCACUGAAUCAAAUAUACUAUGACAUGCCCUCAGCGCUGAAACUAUGCUUUCUAUAUUUAUCAGUAUUUCCUAAGGGAUCUAUUAUUGAUAAAGAAAAACUUAUCAGACAGUGGAUUGCGCUUGAUAUUAUUGGAUCAAAACAUGGAACUUUGCCAUCCUAUGUGCAGGCGGAGAUGUACAUUCAGGACCUUCUGUCAAUACAUUUCCUCCAAGUCAGGAAGACACAUUCAGUUAAUGGAAUGGAGGUCAGUACGUCUCCUACAACACUCUACAUGCAUAACUUUGUCCAUGAAUUUGCAAGGCAUGUUGCUUGCAAUGAUAUUAUUAUUUUGGAUGAUAAAGAAAUGAAUGAUAAUGCAAAAGAGCUCUCCUUCCAAUAUGCAUUGUUGACCCAUUACAAAGGGCAAUCAACACUUUGCAGUGCACUGCUCACAAGGGCAAGGGCAUUACACUUUCUGAAUGCUGAGGCUAUAAAGCUCCAUCGAGAAGCAUUUGAAUUACUGAGGCAUCUGCGUGUUUUGAAUCUCAGUGGAAGCUGCAUUGAAGAAAUACCCGCUUCCAUUGGCCAUUUGAAACAUCUAAGAUACCUUGAUAUUUCUGGCUUAAAGGUUCAGAUAUUACCUUCCUCCAUGAGUACAUUGAUAAAUCUUGAGGCGUUGGAUCUAUCAAAUACUUCUCUCAAGGAGUUGCCCUCUUUCAUUGGUUCUUUAGAGAAGCUAAAAUAUUUGAACCUGCAAGGCUGUGACAUACUUCAAAACUUGCCUGCAACCCUUGGUCAUCUCCAAACACUUGAGCAUCUUAGGGUGUCAUGUCGUUAUGAUAUUGGUGAGCUAGCUGACUCUCUCUGCAAUCUUCAGGAUCUUCGGUUUAUUGAUUUGUCAAGCUGCACUGAGCUUCCACAGUUGCCUUGUUCAUUUGGUAAUUUAAUGAAAUUGGAGGAUCUAAACCUAUCUAGUUGCUUCAACCUCAAGCAGCUACCAGAAUCUUUUGGCAACCUUUAUUUUCUUAGGUCUCUGAACAUGUCGAGCUGCUAUGAGCUCGAACAAUUGCCUGGAUCUUUUUGUAAUCUCGUCAAGUUGGAAGUCCUUAUACUUAGGAGGUGUCAUAGACUUCAAAACCUCCCUCCGUCCUUCGGGAAUAUCGAGAACCUUCGAAUUUUGGAUCUAACUGGCUGCGAGGCACUUCAUGUAAGUGUUGGGAUGUUAACAACCAAUUUGGAGUAUCUGAAUCUACAGCAAUGUCUUAAGCUGCCGACUCGGCCUAACUGUUUAAAUAACUUCACUGGACUGAAGUUUUUGAAUCUCUCACAGUGCAUCCCUACCAUUGACUGUCUGCAAUCUCUUGGCUACUUGUUCAAUCUAGAAUAUCUGAACUUGUCGCAAAAUCCUCUCGUCAUACCUUUGUCUUUUGUGAGGCUUCAGAAGCUGCAUACGUUGGACCUCACUGGUUGUGCUCUUGAGCAUCCAUCCCAUAGUUUACCUCAAAUGUUCCUAGAUAUCAUACAUAAAAUGACAGGACUGAAAUUUCUGUUGACGAAAGAUCCAAUGAUAGUGGCCUGUCUUCCACCAUACAUCCGGUGCUCUGUUAGGAUUGAUGAAAACUGGCACUUAGCGACCGACGAGCUUGUUAUUCCAGACCUCACAAGAGGGUCCAGGGGCUUAACUAUUGCAGAGAGAGCAAAUCUGAAGAAUCGACCAGAGCUACGUUUCCUUAAGCUGGAGUGGACUAAUACUUCUCAUCCAGCUGUACAUGGAAUAGAUGAAGAUUUAGGUGAAGAAGUUAUGGAAAAGCUCCAACCACACCAGAGUUUAGAGCAUUUUGAGCUAGUUGGGUAUUCAGGAUUUGCAUGGCCUACAUGGAUGAUGAACAACAUGGUGACUUUACUCCCCAACGUUGUCAGACUCCAUCUGCUCUGCCUUGGAAACUGUAAAGAUCUUCCUCCACUGGGCCAGCUAAUAAAUUUGCGGCACUUGCAUAUAGAAGAUAUGCCUAACCUCGUAAAUCUAGGUAUGGGUCUUUCUGGGGGCACACAGCCCUUCAAGAAAUUAUUACACCUCAAAUUGGAAAAUUUACUAAACCUAGAAGAGUUGCCUAUAUUGUUGUUGACAAACAAUGGGAAUCAGCAGUUCUUGUUCCCUGCUCUUGAGGAAUUGUCCGUGCUAUCGUGCCCUAAUCUUAUGUUCAAACCAUCUCUGCCGAAGUGUCAGAAAUAUGGAAUAAAAGAUAGUAACAUGAUUCUGUCAUGUGGGGAACCUUUGGGGCCAUGGUCAUCUCCAUCACCAGCAAACAUAAUGAUUACUGGGUGCAGGAUAUCUUCCAGUUGGUUGCAAUGGCUUGAAUCCUUGCAGACUAUCGAGAAAAUAGUAAUUGAUGCAUGUGUGGGGGAUGAUGGUGAAGCAGUAACCUCUUUCAAGCUCCUAGGGGUAAAAUGCACUCAAGAAUCAUCCAGUAGAAAGAUUCCGAAUGAAAAAAGGAACCAAAGUUCAUCUGGGACAAGGAUUUUAAAUGAAUUGACCACUCAGGAUGAUGCCUAUAUGAAUACUCGCCAUGUUGUGGACGUGGACUCAUCGGGCUGGCAAUCCUCCGGUGAACCAUCCUUGAUAUCUUUACAGCAAAACCCAGUCACAACAGGCCUUGGUACCUCAAUAAUCCGGAAACUUUUCCCCAAGUUUAAUACCAGUUUGGGACAAUCAGUGGAGCGUAUUACAUCCUCUGCAGUAAGCAUGCCAUCACUGGAGACUCCACCAACCUCUCGCCAGCUGUCUAGGUCCAAAAUGCCUGCACAAAUACCUCGAGUACGAUCCUUGAGCUUAAGCCUUAAGCAGGUUCAGAAGGCUACUCGGAGAUUUUCACCUGCACUUAAGCUAAGUGAAAGUGGAUCCUGGGAAGUCUACAAGGGUAUCUUACCAAAUAACCAAAUUGUUGCCGUGAGGAGAGCUAAAAAGGGCUGUGAUCGUGCUGCGGAAGUUCACAAGAAAGUGCAGCUCCUUACAGCAAUUAAUCACUGGAGUUUGGUGAGGUCUCUAUGUUUUAUUGAUAAAGGAAAUCAGUUUAUUAUGAUCAGUGAGUAUGUUCCAAAUGGCAGUCUAAGGCAGCACCUGGAUGGCCAACAUCAGAAAAUCCUGGAUUUGGAUCAACGCAUAUCGAUCGCUAUUGAUGUUGCUAUUGCCUUGACUUAUCUUCAUUUAUGUGCUGCAGGGGAAACAAUGAUCUGUUAUGAUUUAAAGACUACGAAAAUCCUUCUGACAGAGAGUUAUAGAGCAAAGUUGGGUACUUUUGAAUUGUCAGGAAGUGGUGACAUGGAUAAAGUGAUAGGGACAAUUGGCUACAUAGAUCCACAAUACAACCGUUACUGUGAGCUGACAGUUAAAUCUGAUGUCUACACUUUUGGUGUAAUACUCUUAGAAAUUAUAUCUUCCCGUGGACCGCAAAUGUGGGAUCAAGACAUGCGAGACUCAGGGAUCUUUGACAACCAUCUUGGCCCUGGCAUUGCGGCAUGGGCUCUCGAGAGAUUUAAGGCAGGCCACGUCAGUGAGAUAUUGGAUGACCGUUUGGCGGAUCAUGUGGAUGAAGAAUUUCUUGGAGACUGGCUUGGUUUAGCAUCCUGGUGUACAAGUUUCGAAGUGGAUGAUCGCCCAAGAAUAGAGGAGGUAGGGGAGCGGCUGUGGGAAAUAUGGAAAGACCACAGAAAUCGCAUAGGACAGCCGUACGAGUACGAGAGGAGUUGGGAAGAAUUUGUGAAAGUGGAGGGGAUACCCUGGGGUGUCAAUUCCAGAGACAAGAGCAGCGGGCAUGCGGAGUUUCCUGCAGAAGGGAAGGUGACAAAGCACCAGUAUUCGCCUGAUGUGAGCAGUCCACAGUUGCAAAUGACCCAGUACGACGCUUCUCCUAUCGGUUCUGAUAUUACACUUUCUCCUCCACUCUCUCCCCGGUAG